CCCGGCGGGCAGGGCUCGCCGCGCUCAGCCCGGCCUCGGAGCGGCCUCUCGUUAUGUAUAGACACAGCCGGGCACAGGGGCGGGUGUUUGCGCUAGGGGAGGGAUCUAGCGGCUCCGCUGCCGUUGUCGUAAGGAAAGUGUGUAAUGGCUUCACCCGUCACACGGGCCGGGGGGCAGUAGCUUGAAGCAGUCGUGAAGAACGUGAGCAAUCUACCCUGUGCCGCGCAAAUAAAGACCUCAAUCGAAAAUGGAAAGCGGGAGGUGAAUUAUUAACUCUAAAGCCAACAGGGUUUCGGUGAACUGCCUGACACGUGUUGCACUGGACCGGGCACUUGAGGUCACAGCCGGGCUCCCUGGCUUUGUGCCGCUGCUCUUGCCAGAGGCCCCUGGAAGGAGCCGGCCGGUGCCAAGGACGGUGCUGCGGUAGCCACCUGGCUGGCCCGAAGCUCACCUUGCCCCGCCAGGCAGGGGCAGGCAGGUGCCAGCGCUCCAGGAGCCUGCAAAGGUCAACAAGCCCCACCAGCCCGAGAGCCAGGAAUCUUGCGGUUCAGUAAGUGCUGAGGCUGGGAAUGCAGUUAGUUACUGGCAGCGUGACACCGGUGGUGAUAAGGCUCCUCGGAGGCCAUGCUAACGAAAAAUAAUCAUUCCUGUCUCAAAGUGCUUGUAAUUUAUAUGGGAGUAAACAUGAAUAUAAGAAGCGGGGAACUCAAGGUAACAGCAAAGCGCUUGUUUGCAGGAGGAAUUCACGUGGGCAUGAGGACAAAAUACCAGGCCUGAAUUUCAACUACAAGAUCUCCUUCACAUUCAGUUCUCAUGGUCUCAUGCAUUCAGAGGCCACACUCAGUCAGCUUAAUAUUUAGCCACUCGUCCUGGGAAAACAGUGUGCUUAAUUUUUUCUUUGGAAGGCCACAGUAGUCUUCCUCUAUAACAGGGGUCCUCAAACUUUUUAAUCAAGGGGCUGGCGCAGAUGAAGGGGCAGGAGGUCAUCUGCGGCUGCUUGGUUUCCCCCCCAACCCCUGGCUGGGGGGGGGGGUGGGGUGUUGGGGGUGUCUGUAAAUACCGGGGGCCGGAUUGAGGACCCUGGGGGGCCCUAUCCAGGCCGUGGGCCGUAUAGUUUGAAGACCCCUGCUCUAUAAGAUAACUGUACAUUUGUCUCAAAGAACAUUAAGAACAUUUCAGGCUUUGUAUAGACUCGAGGUACCCAUUUCCACUACAAUUAGUGGUUCUAAAUGCCUAAAAUCCAGCAGGAUUAAUCCAAGUCUUGGUAUUUUCAGGUAGUGGAGCACGUUUUACAGGCACUCAUAACAUAUAAUGUAUGUAUCAUACAAGGUGCUAACAGUGAUAGGUACUAUAUAUUAUCAGCUUGGGCUUUCUUCUCCCAUCUUUUCUCUGCUGGUGUAAAAAGCAGUUGGAAAAACAGGAAGCAGAACAAAGACCUCCAAGAAGAGCUGAGAAGUUCCCUCAGCUGGACUGCUGUUGCAGUCCACACAAAGUUGCACAACACCCUGAGAGAUGGUCUGCUUCUCUCCUUCCAACUGUGUAUAAAAUCUGUAUCCAUCCAUAAGACACACUGCGUAAUAUUUAAGGCCCACUUGAGAAGCUGUCUAAUGAAUUGCCAGCACCAGUUGUGACAGCACAUACAUUUUCAGCAUUCAGGAGUUGACCCAAGAUAACCUGUCUUAGUUUACAAGAUCUUCCAGUUUUCUACUUGAAGUAGUUCAGCUGAAGGCAUGGUAACAGUAUGUCUGCAAUACGUUUCAGCUAAGAAUUCACUCAAUAUUUUUGAUGCUUCAAAAGCACGUUGAGCUGCUACCCUCAAGUUUCUACCCAUAGAGUCUUUCUGUAUGUUUCUUCUGUACCUUACACCCAGUUUGUAACCCAUCAUUGGCCAGAAUGUUAAUGUGUUCUUUUCCACAUGCAAAGAUGUGUGUAUUGCAACUGUUACAUGUGUUAUUUUGGCACAGUGGCCACUUCCAGAACGUCAACCCAACUGCAGCAAAAUCCUGUCUCUAGGUGUUUGAGUCCUUGAACUAGUCAGAGGGGGAAAGUUGUUUAGUAAAAAAUGUUAGCAAGUGUUGAUACAGGAAGUAGUGGUUCAUGAAGAUAUCUGCUGCUGGGAGUUAUCUGGGACCAUCUGCUGUUUGGGCACGAGGGGCUGUAUUUUGUUGCUUUUUGUAGCUUAUCUGCUAGGAGACAUGCUACGGAGUGACCCUGCAGCAGGUCAGAAUCCACUUUGCAGUUUUAUAACCAUUCACCAGUCCUUUUGCUGGAGCGAUUUUCAUAGGACAAGACACAGCCCUGUCUAAGUUUCCACAGCUGGAGUUCCACUUUUUUCCCCAAGAGAUAAUUAGCAGGUGGGGGAGAAAGGGAGGAUUCUUUCAAAAUAACAACUGCCUCAAAGGAGAAAAAGCAGCGCCAAAAUCAGCAAAAAACCAUUAGGAUAAUCACCCAGUGAAUACAGACCGGGAAUUAAGAGUUACUUGAAUUUUGUUAGAAAUGUCACCACUGCUAAUCUUUGAGGCUUUGCACAAGCUACUUCUUUUUUUGCCUCAAAUUUUCCAUACAUAUACUUGAGUAAUGUUUAUCUACCUAUAAUGUAUCUUAUACAUAAUCAUCACAGAAGGUUUUUUGCUAAUUUGAUAUCAGAAAAGUUUAUUCUGGCACUAUUAAGUAUCAAGUAUUAAUGCUUUUUAUAGUGUGUCCAGCUCAGUUGUGCUUUAGACCCUGAGUAAUAGUGAGGAUGGUCUUUUUCUAAAUAAUGUUUUCACAUGGUCUAAAACUCCUCCUUUUUUGUAAUGGAUUUCCCCCCCGCCCCCCCCAGAAGAUCCAACAAAAAGUCAUUAGGAAGACAACUCAGAAAAUGGAUAAUCACUUUUUGUAGUGCUUUUUGAUGGUGGAAUAUUGUCUUUUCAGACCUUGCCAUCUAUGUCAUUUACCCCCACCAACUCAGAUAUCCCCUCUUAAAACACAUGGUCUAUCGCUGAGGUGUGCUAAAAGGAGGUCAAGCAAGAUCUUCUUUUUAGAGAGCAAUACAAACAUGGAAAAUAUCUGUCAACAAAAUUAUAUGAGAAUUAAAUUAUGAACACAGUUUCCAAAAUAUGAAAGAAGUCUAGAGAGAAGUGUGGAAACUCAGUGUGCUGUACCAAGCAGAAGUACCUGAAACUGGCAAGUACAUUAACUAGCAAUACAGAAGAGGCAGGUGUUAAAAUGGUGGUAAUAACAAUGCAGUACUCAUAGCUGUAUGAAACAAUUAUGAGUAACUGCAAUACUCAUAACUUUAUGAAAACAUCUGGUAUCUGUCUUCCAUUGUAAGCUUUUUGUCAAUGAGGGUCGUCUUUAGAAUUUGCAAUAUCAUUCAAAAAAGACUAGAUACUAAAAAUGUAUGGUUUAAUGGUUUAAUUUCUAGAGUCUCCUGCAAGAAUUAUAUUGUGUUAUAGUCUUCAAUGUGAUUUUCAAUCAUCCUUUAUUUUUGAAAAUGUCAUUACUGAGUAUCCCUUCUGUGAGGAGGCAAGUCAACAAAACUCACGAUGAAUUCAAAAUGCAAUAAUGCUGAUUGUUUUCCACAAUAAAAUAUUUUCAGGCUCUUUUGUCAUAUAAACAA